UACGUAGGGUGCAAGCGUUGUCCGGAAUUAUUGGGCGUAAAGAGCUCGUAGGCGGUCUGUCGCGUCUGCUGUGAAAACUCAGGGCUUAACCCUGAGCUUGCAGUGGGUACGGGCAGACUAGAGUGCGGUAGGGGAGACUGGAAUUCCUGGUGUAGCGGUGAAAUGCGCAGAUAUCAGGAGGAACACCGGUGGCGAAGGCGGGUCUCUGGGCCGUAACUGACGCUGGAGGAGCGAAAAGCAUGGGGAGCGAACAGG
rnacentral:rRNA from 1 species